rnacentral:rRNA from 1 species
GGCUUGUUGAUAAUAAUUUCAAGUCUGACCUGCCCAAUGAGUGAUUUAAUGGCCGCGGUAUAUUGACCGUGCAAAGGUAGCAUAAUCAUUAGUUUUUUUAUUGAAAGCUAGAAUGAAGGGUUUGAUGAAAAAAUUUCUGUCUCUAGAAAAAUUUAUUAGAAUUUUAUUUUUAAGUGAAAAAGCUUAAAUGAGUAUAGAAGACGAGAAGACCCUAUAGAGUUUAAUAUUUAAUUUAUAUAAGGUAAUUUUUGGCUCUAAAAAUUAAUUUUUAGUUUAAGUAUUUCAUUGGGGUGAUUAAAAAAUUAAUUAAACUUUUUUUUGUUAGAAACAUUGGUUUGUGGAUAAUUGAUCCUAUUUUUUARAUUAAAARAUUUAAUUACCUUAGGGAUAACAGCGUAAUUUUUCUUARAGUUCUUAUCGAAAGAAGGGAUUGCGACCUCGAUGUUGGAUUAAAAUAAAUUGUUGGCGCARAAGCUAACGGAUUGAGUCUGUUCGACUUUUAAAAUUUUACAUGAUCUGAGUUUAAACCGGUGUGAG